rnacentral:tRNA from 1 species
GCGCCAGUAGCUCAGCUUGGAUAGAGCACCACACUCCUACUGAACAUUACCGGGUUUUUUGGUAAUCUCAACAGACAUGUGGGGGUCGGGGGUUCAAAUCCUCCCUGGCGCG